rnacentral:rRNA from 1 species
GAGUUUGAUCAUGGCUCAGGAUGAACGUUAGCGGCGUGCCUAACACAUGCAAGUCGAACGAACAGCCAGAAUCUUAGGAAUCUGGCGGGUUAGUGGCGCACGGGUGAGUAACACGUAGGUGACCUGCCCCGAAGUGGGGGACAACCACUGGAAACAGUGGCUAAUACCGCAUGUGCUUAGCCAUUCGGUUGGUUAAGUAAAGCUGAGGCGCUUCGGGAGGGGCCUGCGGUCGAUUAGCUAGUUGGUGAGGUAAUGGCUCACCAAGGCGAUGAUCGAUAGGGGGCGUGAGAGCGUGACCCCCCACACUGGGACGUGAGGACACGGCCCGACGACUCCUACCGGGAGGGCAGCGAGUGAGGAAUAUUGCACAAUGGGCGGCAAG